UUAUUUCUGGAAUAUACGAGAAGCUCUAUAUUUUGAACCUACAGUUCAACUACGGGAGUUCAAUAUUUAGAUGUGAAUAUGUAAUUUUUGUGAGACCUUUGAGUGGCUUUAAAGAGAUAGAAACAUUUGUGAGGACACCCACCUAUCGAAAGAUAGGUGUCAAAAUUAGAGUACCGGUAUUUUGGAUAAUAA
rnacentral:other from 1 species